rnacentral:tRNA from 1 species
GCUCCCUUCGUCUAGUGGUUAGGACACAAGGUUUUCAUCCUUGCAACAGGGGUUCGAUUCCCCUAGGGAGUGCCA